rnacentral:rRNA from 1 species
GAUGAACGCUGGCGGCGUGCCUAAUACAUGCAAGUCGAGCGAACGGACGAGAAGCUUGCUUCUCUGAUGUUAGCGGCGGAGGGGUGAGUAACACGUGGAUAACCUACCUAUAAUACUGGGAUAACUUCGGGAAACCGGAGCUAAUACCGGAUGAUAUUUUGAACCGCAUGGUUCAAAAGUGAAAGACGGUCUUGCUGUCACUUAUAGAUGGAUCCGCGCUGCAUUAGCUAGUUGGUAAGGUAACGGCUUACCAAGGCAACGAUGCAUAGCCGACCUGAGAGGGUGAUCGGCCACACGGGAACUGGGACACGGUCAAGACUCCUACGGGAGGCAGCAGUAGGGAAUCUGCCGCAAUGGGCGAAAGCCUGACGGAGCAACGCGGCGUGAGUGAUGAAGGUCUUCGGAUCGUAAAACUCUGUUAUUAGGGAAGAACAUAUGUGUAAGGAACUGUGCACAGCGUGACGGUACCUAAUCAGAAAGCCACGGCUAACUACGUG